rnacentral:rRNA from 1 species
AGUGAACGCUGGCGGUAGGCCUAACACAUGCAAGUCGAACGGCAGCACAGUAAGAGCUUGCUCUUACGGGUGGCGAGUGGCGGACGGGUGAGGAAUACAUCGGAAUCUACUUUUUCGUGGGGGAUAACGUAGGGAAACUUACGCUAAUACCGCAUACGACCUACGGGUGAAAGCAGGGGAUCUUCGGACCUUGCGCGAUUGAAUGAGCCGAUGUCGGAUUAGCUAGUUGGCGGGGUAAAGGCCCACCAAGGCGACGAUCCGUAGCUGGUCUGAGAGGAUGAUAACGCACACUGGAACAGAGAGACAGUCCAGACACCUAAGGGAGGCACAAGUGGGGAAUAUUGGACAAAGGGGGCAAAACUGAUACAGCCAUACCGCGCGGGUGAAGAAAGCCUUCGGGUUGUAAAACGCUUUUGUUGGGAAAGAAAAGCAGCAGGUUAAUACCCCGCUGUUCUGACGGUACCCAAAGAAUAAGCACCGGCUAACUUCGUG